GGCCGAAUAUCCAAGGUUUCCAGAGUAAAGCUGAUCUGCUCUGGGUAAGUCGGGGCCUAAGGCGAGGACGAGAGUCGUAGCCGAUGGACAACAGGUGGAGAUUCCUGUACUGCGGUAUGACAGAACUGUGGGGACACGUAAGGAAAGCGGAAGCCGGGAAUGGAAAGCCCGGUGCAAGCGGGGUACCAGCCACUUAGGCAAAUCCGGGUGGCAAUGGGAAGCCGUGAUGCGGAGCGAAAUAAAGUAGCGAAGUCCGUGAGCCAUGCGUCAAGAAAAGCCGCUAUUGUUUAUACCGUACCCGUACCGUAAACCGACACAGGUGGAUGAGGAGAGAAUCCUAAGGCCGGCGGGAGAAGCAUUGUUAAGGAACUCGGCAAAAUGACCCCGUAACUUCGGGAGAAGGGGUGCCUGCGAGAGCAGGCCGCAGAGAAUAGGCUCAAGCAACUGUUUAGCAAAAACACAGGUCUAUGCGAAACCGAAAGGUGAGGUAUAUGGGCUGACGCCUGCCCGGUGCUGGAAGGUUAAGAGGAGAGGUUAGCGCAAGCGAAGCUUUGAAUUUAAGCCCCAGUAAACGGCGGCCGUAACUAUAACGGUCCUAAGGUAGCGAAAUUCCUUGUCGGGUAAGUUCCGACCCGCACGAAAGGCGUAAUGAUUUGAGCGCUGUCUCGACAAUGCACCCGGUGAAAUUGAAAUACCAGUGAAGAUGCUGGUUACCUGCGCCAGGACGGAAAGACCCCAUGGAGCUUUACUCCAGCUUGAUACUGGGAUUCGGUAUUGCAUGUACAGGAUAGGUGGGAGGCUGAGAAAUGGUGACGCCAGUCGCCAUGGAGCCGCUGUUGGGAUACCACCCUUGCAGUACUGGAUUUCUAACCAGCAGCCGUAAUCCGGCUGGGGGACAAUGUCAGGUGGGGAGUUUGACUGGGGCGGUCGCCUCCGAAAGGGUAUCGGAGGCGCUCAAAGGUUCCCUCAGAAUGGUCGGAAACCAUUCGAAGAGUGCAAAGGCAGAAGGGAGCUUGACUGCGACACCGACGGGUGGAGCAGGUACGAAAGUAGGACUUAGUGAUCC
rnacentral:rRNA from 1 species